rnacentral:rRNA from 1 species
GAUGAACGCUGGCGGCGUGCCUAAUACAUGCACGUCGAGCGAACAGACGAGGAGCUUGCUCCUCUGACGUUAGCGGCGGACGGGUGAGUAACACGUGGAUAACCUACCUAUAAGACUGGGAUAACUUCGGGAAACCGGAGCUAAUACCGGAUAAUAUAUUGAACCGCAUGGUUCAAUAGUGAAAGACGGUUUUGCUGUCACUUAUAGAUGGAUCCGCGCCGCAUUAGCUAGUUGGUAAGGUAACGGCUUACCAAGGCGACGAUGCGUAGCCGACCUGAGAGGGUGAUCGGCCACACUGGAACUGAGACACGGUCCAGACUCCUACGGGAGGCAGCAGUAGGGAAUCUUCCGCAAUGGGCGAAAGCCUGACGGAGCAACGCCGCGUGAGUGAUGAAGGUCUUCGGAUCGUAAAACUCUGUUAUUAGGGAAGAACAAAUGUGUAAGUAACUAUGCACGUCUUGACGGUACCUAAUCAGAAAGCCACGGCUAACUACGUG